rnacentral:rRNA from 1 species
CCUACGGGUGGCAGCAGUGGGGAAUAUUGCGCAAUGGGCGAAAGCCUGACGCAGCGACGCCGCGUGAGGGAUGAAGGUCUUCGGAUCGUAAACCUCUGUCAGCAGGGAAGAACGGUCACUGUGCUAAUCAUCAGUGAAUUGACGGUACCUGCAAAGGAAGCACCGGCUAACUCCGUGCCAGCAGCCGUGGUAAUACGGAGGGUGCGAGCGUUAAUCGGAAUUACUGGGCGUAAAGCGCUCGUAGGUGGUAUGUCAAGUCAAGGGUGAAAGCCCCGCGCUCAACGUGGGAACUGCCUUUGAAACUGGCAAACUGGAGUGUGUGAGAGGAUGGUGGAAUUCCAGGUGUAGGAGUGAAAUCCGUAGAUAUCUGGAGGAACAUCAGUGGCGAAGGCGACUAUCUGGCACAUAACUGACGCUGAGGAGCGAAAGCGUGGGUAGCAAACAGGAUUAGAUACCCGAGUAGUC